UUUUUAUGUGUACCUUGUUUUUUUUAUGUCGUUUUUCAUUUACAGGUUUAAAUAUCCAUACUUCACUUACAUAUGACUCAGUAAAGCCCUGCCAUUCGGUUCUAUAUUAUGAAUCGUUAUGCGAUCAGCCUAUUAUUCAGCACGCUAUUACUAUGUUUCAGACAUCAACCACUGGUCGAUGACCAUAAUGUUUGUAUAAACUGUAGGUAACAACUGGUAAAAUGUACACAGUCAUAAAAACCAUAAUGAUACUUACACUUAAAUAUUUUCUUCUCAGCCAUGUUAUCAAUUGUCUGUGUCCGUGAGCGAAAGCGCUCUUCACACCAGUUGUCUGAUUGGCCUUUCGCAAGGACUCCUGGGUACUUGAAGUGCGUGAAGCCUGGAUCUAUGCGGGCUUCGCGGAAGACCGCUUCAAGGGUACAAAGGGGGCGCUGCUGAGCACACUUCAGAGCGUUAAAAUGCUAAAUGGGACGGCCUACGGACUCGUAGACUCAGCGAGCACGCGCAAUUUAAGUCCACGAGACCGAAAGUCCGCAUGAAGUGCGCCAUUUGGGACAGGGCCCAAGUCUAUCUCUGUGUCUCGUUUGGAAGGCUGCGUCCUCCGGAGGUCGCAUUGGUCGGCAGCAUACGUCAUCGAGACUGUCCUUGUUAGCGCAUUCACCUUGUUUCAGAAAAGCGAGUAGGACACUCCGAAUGCAGCCUUGGAACGCGACCUUCUUCCACGGGAAUUCGGAGGAUGCACGAGGUGUAUCCUUCGUGGCCGCUCGCAACCCACAAUUCUUUGCUUCAAUGGAAAUUAACAUAAUUUUCCCCAAAAAAUAAAAUAAAUAAAAUUACGCAAAUUUGCCCGAAAAUGGGAUGUUCAAACACAAGUAAUGUUAAUUCCCACGUUAAAGGGCACCUAUUAUGGAAUUUUGAAAAUUACCUUUCAUGUAGUGUGUAACAUAGAUUUAAGUGAACAAAAACAUCCUGCAAAGUUUUAUAUAUGAAAGUUCACCGUAAAAAAAGUUAUGGUCUCUCAAAAGUAGGAGUCGACUCUGAGUCAAUGUAAUGAAUCGUUUUUCCAAUGAGUCAUUUUCCUUUUUGUUGUGACGUCAAGACGAAAAAUUGUCAAAUUUGCCGCGCCCACUCAUUGCGCGUGCAGACACCAGGGAAAACUUGAAAACAUCAUGUCGACAACAAGACACUGUGUUCUGAAGUGCGUAUCAAAAGCGACCUUUUUUUCACUGCCCAGGGACGAGCAUGUGAAGAAUCAGUGGCUAGAGUUUAUAUUUACAACUAUACCACACAAGUAUAGCCCGAACCUUGUGCUGUGUUCGCGUCAUUUUAAUGACGAUUGCUUUACGAACAUGAAUGCUUUCAAGUGUGGAUUCAUGAGCGGUUGAUACUGAAGGAAGGUUCAGUACCAAGUUUAUUUGGAUCAGCUUCCUCCUCCGAAUCACAACCUGUAAGUAUUAUUAAUAAUUGUUGCUUUUAUGUGUUUUUUUUGUGUGUGUUAUGUAAGUUACGCUCAGCGCAGCUUCUAGGUCUCCAAUGUCAAUUUUUUUGAAAUAUGUGAAAUGUUUGUCGAUGUUAUUGGAGUUGUCAUAAAGAAUAGAGCAAUAACUUGUAGUAAUGCAGUGCUUUACCAAUAUGUUUAUGUGUUGGGCUAACGCAAACAAUAACUGAUUGGGUGUUUACCACCGAACUUUGGGCUAUGAUCGCUAACAUAUAUCAACUCAAAUUCCUUCUCUGGUUUUGAUUUUUUUAUUACAAAGCGGUGAUGGGCGUUCCGUUUCCGACAAUCUCUGCAGAGUAUACCAAUCACAACUGACUGGGUCAUCUGACCAAUCACCGCAGAUUAGCGUCACGCAAAGGAGGGGUUUGGAAAAAUGAGUCGUUGAACGAAUCAUUUGGGAGUCGGUGAGCAAAUCAGGCAAGUUUCUUCUUAUCUGCCACCUUUGCAAAAGUAAACACGUUGUAUACCUCCACCGCAUCUGCUCCAGCAACCAUGUCAAUCCUUCUUUCAUCAGCGGCUUCCACCUGUUCAAUCACUGCAACAUACAGCUCAAACUGCUGUUUGAAACGCCUCCAGUUUGUGUCAACAACCUCAAUGACCCAGGCGGUUUUAUUGCAUCCAUUGUUUGAGCCCAACUCCUGGUAUCAUGUAAUGUUCAGUUGUGCACAAUAAAUCAAACUCAUUUCAGUUACUGCUCACGUGUCUUUAAUACUUCCACUACAUACUAAAUCUCUCCUUCCCACUGCAAUACUUCCCUCUACUGGACUAAAUGACUACUAUUAAUCACUCAUUAAUAUUUCUAUUAAAAAAAAAUAUAUCUGAAGGCACAUUGCAUUAUAUAUCAACUUUAACCUCUGGGAAUACCCAUGGUGGUACUGCCCCUAUUACCAUCGAUGGCCUUAAAACCAUCCUUCAAACUUAAACUUAAUUUCCCAUCCAAAACCUUUCCCGUUUGCGCUGAUAUUCCCAACAAUCUUUUAAAGGGAUAGUUCACCCAAAAAGGAAAAUUAUCUAAUUAUUUACAUACCCUUGUGAUAUACUAGGUGUGUAUGAUUUUCUUUCUUCACCAGAAAAAUAUUUUAGCUCCGUAGGUCCUUAAAAUACAAGUGAAUGGAGAUUUCGCUUUUGAAGCUCCAAAAAUCACAGACAGUCUGGAGAAAUGUCAUCCAUACAACACCAGCUGUUAAAUUCAUGUCUUCUAAAGCAACAUGAUCGCUUUUGGUGCAAAAAAGAUAAAUAUUUAAAUAUUUAUAUAUUCUUUUAAAGAUUUUUGGAAGUCAUCAAACACAUGCAUAUAUUUUAUGCAUGCGUAUUGCUGCUGUAAGCCACAUAUAGCUAAAAAUGAUAUAUCAAAUUUUUUUAUUACUUAUCUGUGAGCUUGUUUGGCUGAAUAAUCUAAUGUUAUAUCUUAGAUGUCCAGAAAAAAAGAUGCUAUCCAGCACAAAAAGCAUGCAAAACAAAUCAUCAUAAAAAUAUGUUUUUGACUAUUGGUGAGGCAAAGAUUAGGAUCUCAGCUUUCUAAUGACACCUACAUUCAAUUUCCUUGUAAUGAGGAUACAUGGUUUGUGCCAACUACAACAUGUUUUAGGUUUACUGACUUAUUGGUAUGCACAUGAAACUUUCUAAUUCUAGAGACAUUUACAAAUGAAAUACUUAAACUAUGAAAACGAUCCAUUUUUCCUAUUCAGCAUAUUGAAAGUUAGUAUUUUUGCAUAAUGUUUUGCCUAUGCCUUUUAUGGUGAUGUUACCUCCCAGGGCGUAUCUUUCAUAUUAUUUCCUUGUUACAUCUGUGGAUGUAGAAGUUGCAUGUAUAUUGACUAUACAUUGUAUGUUUUCUGUUGUCUCCCUUGUUUUCCCUGUCAUCCCAACCAGUUCUUCUCAUAUGGUGUGAAGCUGGAGAGACUUUAACAGAUAAACUCACAGAUUUGGGAGAAAAUGUGACCAUAAACUGUGAUUUUCAUGAAGGAGAGGUAUAUUGGCUUUUACUGAAACUACCAGAGCCAGUUUUUAUAUUACGCACUUUCUCUCCAAACCCUUUUUACUACAAUAAAACAAUCAGUCACAAAUAUUCAGUGAAAUCCAAACGUCAUCUGUAUAUAAAUAAUGUCACUACUAAUGAGUUAGGAGUUUAUUACUGUAUGAAAACAGAGAAGACCGAAAGACACUUUAGUACUGGCACCAGACUACACAUCAUUGGUAAGUGACCAUUUACUUAUCAACUCAUAUUGAUGAUUAUUGAUAGAAUAAUUUGAUACAAACUUUUUAGACACUUAAGAAAAACUAUAAUUAUUUAAUGGUUGCAAAGUGCUAAAUGUGUUAUAUAAUUAUAUUGAAGAACCAACUUCAGAGAGCCAGUAUCACACAACGGAGACAACAACAAAGAAUACACCACAGAUUCAGACACCAUGGCACAUUAUUACUCUCAUAUCUGCUCUGCUGAACUGUGUUCUGAUCAUUGCGGUCUUUGGACUAAUAAAGGUGUUUGGUCAUGGAAGAAAGAGAACCAGUGAACGUUCAAAACAAGAGACUCGCCUACAACAUCCUCGGGUUACAGAUCUUGAACUGCCUCAAGACUUAAUCCGAACACAG